rnacentral:rRNA from 1 species
UCCUGGUUCUUUUGGGGGAUGUAAAGUUUGUACAAAGGUUUCGUUGGGGGACCUUGGGGAGGGACCUUUAUGGAAUG